GAUGAACGCUGGCGGCGUGCCUAAUACAUGCAAGUCGAGCGAACGGACGAGAAGCUUGCUUCUCUGAUGUUAGCGGCGGACAGGUGAGUAACACGUGGAUAACCUACCUAUAAGACUGGGAUAACUUCGGGAAACCGGAGCUAAUACCGGAUAAUAUUUUGAACCGCAUGGUUCAAAAGUGAAUGACGGUCUUGCUGUCACUUAUAGAUGGAUCCGCGCUGCAUUAGCUAGUUGGUAAGGUAACGGCUUACCAAGGCAACGAUGCAUAGCCGACCUGAGAGGGUGAUCGGCCACACUGGAACUGAGACACGGUCCAGACUCCUACGGGAGGCAGCAGUAGGGAAUCUUCCGCAAUGGGCGAAAGCCUGACGGAGCAACGCCGCGUGAGUGAUGAAGGUCUUCGGAUCGUAAAACUCUGUUAUUAGGGAAGAACAUAUGUGUAAGUAACUGUGCACAUCUUGACGGUACCUAAUCAGAAAGCCACGGCUAACUACGUG
rnacentral:rRNA from 1 species